rnacentral:lncRNA from 1 species
UUGCAACUAAUUUCAUGUAUAUUUUCAUGGAAAACAAGGACAUUUCUAAGUGACCCAAAACUUUUGAACAGUAGUGUAUACAGUGGAUUUCUUAAGAUGUUGACCAAUCCAUAAAAACAUGAAAAUGAUUAACAUUUCUGGUCUUUUGUAUAUAAGGUAAGCUAAUAUUCAAUGAGACCUGCCCAGAGGCCAUAGAGGAGAGAAAGAAGGAGCUGCAGAGUCGCUGUAAGGUGUACUGCUGGAGUAUAUAUGCAGAGGGUGUACCCCAAAUAAUGAAAUGUGACAGUGCUUCUGAUCUCCCUGCUGAGGUCCGCUUCUCUUUCACCAAGGACUUGGAGUUCAACUUCACAUUAGCCGCAGCUACAGGCCAAGAACCCCCAGGGGUACAUGGACCCCAGGUUGAGAACCAU